rnacentral:rRNA from 1 species
GGCCGCGGGAAUUCGAUUGGAUCGCCCUUAGAGUUUGAUCAUGGCUCAGAACGAACGCUGGCGGCGCGUUUUAAGCAUGCAAGUCGAGCGGCAAGGGCCUUCGGGCCCCUAGAGCGGCGGACGGGUGAGUAACACGUGGACAAUCUGCCCCCCGGCCCGGGAUAGCCCAGGGAAACCUGGAUUAAUACCGGAUGAGACGGGACCCGCGAUGGCGGGACCCGGGAAAGGCGCUGCGGCGCCGCCGGGGGAUGAGUCUGCGUCCCAUUAGCUAGACGGCGGGGUAACGGCCCACCGUGGCGACGAUGGGUAGCCGGCCUGAGAGGGUGGACGGCCACAUUGGAACUGAGACACGGUCCAGACUCCUACGGGAGGCAGCAGCUAAGAAUCUUCCGCAAUGGGCGAAAGCCUGACGGAGCGACGCCGCGUGAACGAAGAAGGCCGUGAGGUUGUAAAGUUCUUUUCGGGAGGGGGAACAACCGUGGCAGGGAAUGGCCGCGGGAUGACGUGAAUCCCGGAAUAAGCCCCGGCUAACUACGUGCCAGCAGCCGCGGUAACACGUAGGGGGCGAGCGUUGUUCGGAAUCAUUGGGCGUAAAGGGCGUGCAGGCGGUCCUGCAAGUCCGGCGUGAAAGACCCCGGCCCAACCGGGGGGACGCGCUGGAAACUGCAGGGCUUGAGUACAGGAGGGGAUGCCGGAAUUCCAGGUGUAGGGGUGAAAUCUGUAGAUAUCUGGAAGAACACCAAUGGCGAAGGCAGGCAUCUGGCCAUGUACUGACGCUGAGACG